AGUUACGUAACUUUUGGUCCCACCGAGAACUAAGCAUGACUUGGCCAAGGUCAACAAGAUUGCUAACAUCCAAUCGCAAAUAACAAUCCUUGGAGAAAUGUUAAACCACUUAGUUACAGACCAACAGGUGACAGAAAAGAUUCGUCUGAGCUAACCUUGACUACUGAAUAGCCUUCGAUCACACGAUAGGCACGUGACAAACUAAUGAUAACAGUGUAGUUAUGCCCAAUGCAAAUUUAGCUUCCUUAACAAUAGUGUUCUUGUGUUGAGUGUCAAUUCGCUUAUAGAAUUCUCAGAGCGUACUUCUGGUAAACGACUGUUCCAAUUUAGCUUCGUGGAAAGAAUUGCUAGUCAAAGGAUAAGUUUAUUUGGAAAAAAGGCGUCGCCGAGCGAUUGAAACUGAUUUCAGUGAGGUUGGCAAAGUUUAUUGAAUGCCAUGACUACUCGAAAGAAAGUGCGAUGCUUUUUUUAGGUCCAAGUGGGCAAACAAUCUGAGUUAGCAGUAUCAUCGCUUCAGUGUCGAUCCAGGGUGGAGACUCGACUGAUUAAUUGAUUGUAUUGGUUGAUUGACAAGAGUACGAUAACAACUGCCAGAAUUACGCAUCAAGUGAAUUAUGAAUGCGUUUAAUCCAUAGAUGGCGUUAUGUGGCAUGCACAGAGGGGAAUUUUUGGAAAAGACAACAAAGAGCCGAUUGAGCUGGCCCUGCCUGAAUUACCAUGUACUAAGUAUUACAGCUCGCAAUCUCGUCACUAACCAUGAAUUGAAUUCAACGAAACGUCAAGGAAAUUAACUUUGAAUACAACAAAGUGUUUAAUUUUCGUGCCUAGCAUAAAGAAAGUCACUCAAAAAGACAGGCUGCCACUCAAGAGACCCUUAAUUCUCAAACAGCGAAUGUGCUAAAAGGUGCACUUUACUAUGACGCAAAAAUGUGACCCCGAUCUGAUUCACAGGUCACGUGACGUGUAUUAGCUACCGCUGGUCUCUGGAGAGAUUUUCAGUUCGGUGUGUUAUGGCCUGAAUGUCGUCUGUCUUUAUGGAAGUAUGUUGGCAUUCUAGAAGAGGCUAUUUCUAAUGCUUGAUACGUACACGAACUGAACUUUAAUUACAUCAAGUCUGGGCUCAUUUUCAUCAUAAAGCUGCUGCUUUUUAAGCAGACACAACCACUAAUCUAAAGCUAAAGACAGGCAAGAAAGCAAUGGGAGCUGAAAUGGAAAUGAUUUUAACUGGCCUUCUUUUGGCGCUUGCCACUGUUCUUAUCAUCUCGGUGAUCGUUCUAGCGAUGUACGUUGAGAUACUAAGAAGAACCGUUGCAUUGCUGGGGAGCAACCCGGUCAUUUUGGUUAAGCAAGUCCCAAUAAAUCCUGAGGAUAAGGUCAAGGCCAGCGUUCCACGACCCAGGGCCUUAUCUGGAACGUGCUCCUGGAAAUUGGGCUCUAUGGAAAGUGUUUUUUAUGUUCCCUCACGGGUGGGAUCACCUGAAGUGUUCCGCAAGAAUGACAAUGACUUACUUGUUGCUAAUACGGCCGCGUGUAACACAUCUGGGUUGCCGACUGACUCAUAAUUAGUGAGCGAAUUCCUAAGCUGUAAAACCGAACAGUCUUUUGACAAAUGGGCCUCUAAGCCUCAUUAAAAUGUUCUCCUAACUUAUAGAGCUAUUUUCAUUUCAAGGCAAACGCCAUAGCAUCAUUUGUUGCCUCAUUAGUAUACGACUUUGCAUAGAGAAGACAGCACAAUGACACAAUUUGACUUCAAAUUUUUAAAGAUCUUGCGAAACCAUCUUCAUACUCAUUUAAUGAAACCUUGUGAAUCGUGACAUUUCUACUGCUCUUUCGGUGUAAUAUUAAGGCACUUAUUGGCUUUCAAAAGAUGACAAAGGAGCUAAAAAGCUCAUUCAAUCCUUGGAAAAGUUGGAGUUUUUGGUCACAAAUUUCUCGGGACAGUGUGCCAUGCCAUCGCCUUUAAAUUUUCAGUGUGGAUAUUUUUGUAGCUUGAUCAGAACCUAAAUCUCUUAUACUAAUGACGCAAUUCACUAGACUGACGUUAACGUGAGUUUCUAACUUGCGGCCUGGCCCUGACUGAGCUUUCCCUGAUUUCCUUCUCUGAAUACUCCAAAACAACUUUGUUUGCAGUGCCACGACACUGCUUGCUGUUAUUGUUUACAAGCAGAGUUGGAUUUAUCUGUGAAGGUAAUAUAUUUAGAGACAUUAAACAAAAUCUAACUCUGCUGAUUCAGACAGUCAGAGAGUCGGUGAAACUACAUAGAUAUCUACAAAGCCAGGGUUGAACUCGAAACUUGUUUUUAACAUCUAUUGAAUGGGUACAAAGCUUUUAUCACUGAAACCUGCUCCAUAACUAAGACCUGAUGUAAUUGUUUGACUGUAAAACUGGCAAGUUUAAACGCUGAAGAGAAACCACAUCCCAAACCUC